CUUAGCUAAGACCAAAAAAUCCCUAGAGGAACAAAAGAAAAAGUUGGCGCAACGCAGCAUCUUCAAGGGAUGACGUAAACGAAGAAACGAAAUCGGAGAAGAGGGGUCUUCUUUUCGUGGAGAAGAACAAUAAUAGGAUAUAGAUCCAGAUUUAGCAUUAAAUAUGGUGAUUGCGAUUAUUGUGGUUGUUGCUGAGACCGAGUGGGAUUUUUUCAUCAAGUUCUAGAAGGUUUUCCGGUGUCGAUUCGAGGUUCCGAUUUGUAAUUUCGGGGUUUCAGUCCAAGGAUUGUUGCUAUGUUUAGCCCGAUUGAUUUGCAAUUUUCAGCUUUGUUCGUCAAUAAAAGAUCCAUUUCUCAAUUUUUAUUCUCAUUUCAUUAUGUUAUAAUAGCUUGGUGCGCAUGUUGAUUUGGGAUUCUACGUUGUUUGAAUAGCAUGUCUUAAGUUUUCGUUUAAAUUAUU